GCCGACCUCCCCGCCCGUCACGUGAGCUCAAGCCCAGGCGCCCUCUGGCUUCUCUCCGCACUCUGGCUCCCUCCCUGUACACCGUACCCGCGGGGACAGAGCUCCGUGGCGCCGCCAGUCGCCCCUCGCCGCCGCCAGGACCUGCGGGCCACCACCUGGGCCGCGGGCGGGCGGGCGCGCGCGCGCACCUGAGGCCGACGUAAGCAGCCGUCUCCUGGCGCGCGCUCCGGAAACGCCCUCCUGCGGCGGCGUCAUGCGUGACGUCAGGAUGACGCCAGCGGCGCCGGCUUCGGAGCAGUGGUAGCCGCGAUCUUGUUAGAGCGAGUGUGGGCGGCGCCGAGGGCUGCGGGGACUGUGAAAGGCCGCGGGUUGCUGGGCAGCCACAGGCAGGGCGGGUGUCUGGCCGGUCCGCGACUCCACCCCCGGAAACCAAUCGUUUUUGGCAGCAGACACCAGAUGGGCAUCUUCCAAUUCAAUUCUGACACUUACCUGAAGAUAGCAUCAGAUGCUAUAGAUUAAGGAACUCAGGCUUACAGACUGCUUCUCAUUUCAGGCACCAAGUGCAAAGCCAGGCCUCUAGAACUUUUGGCUAGCCAGUUCCAUAGAGCAGGGUAC
ensembl:lncRNA